rnacentral:rRNA from 1 species
ACGGGUGCGUAACGCGUGGGAAUCUGCCCUUGGGUUCGGAAUAACGGUUAGAAAUGACUGCUAAUACCGGAUGAUGUCUUCGGACCAAAGAUUUAUCGCCCAAGGAUGAGCCCGCGUAAGAUUAGCUAGUUGGUGGGGUAAUGGCCCACCAAGGCGACGAUCUUUAGCUGGUCUGAGAGGAUGAUCAGCCACACUGGGACUGAGACACGGCCCAGACUCCUACGGGAGGCAGCAGUGGGGAAUAUUGGACAAUGGGCGAAAGCCUGAUCCAGCAAUGCCGCGUGAGUGAUGAAGGCCUUAGGGUUGUAAAGCUCUUUUACCAGGGAUGAUAAUGACAGUACCUGGAGAAUAAGCUCCGGCUAACUCCGUGCCAGCAGCCGCGGUAAUACGGAGGGAGCUAGCGUUGUUCGGAAUUACUGGGCGUAAAGCGUACGUAGGCGGUUAUUCAAGUCAGAGGUGAAAGCCCGGGGCUCAACCCCGGAACGGCCUUUGAAACUAGGUAGCUAGAGUCUUGGAGAGGUUAGUGGAAUUCCGAGUGUAGAGGUGAAAUUCGUAGA